GGGGGUGUAAAUGGUUUCGACAUUAACCCAGAAGUUUCAGUAGCGAGUAGUGGAUGGUUGCUUCGGCCACUAUAAAAAAGCAAAUUAAAAAUAAAAGCUGAUAGACAAGAAUUAGCUUACGCUGCCUAAUUGCAGCGCCGUUUUAUACAAAGAGCCUACUGCUUUAUAUAAGGCGUCGAUUUAAAGUAGGAAACAAUGCUAUUUUUUCCAUUAAAAUAGAGGGUAUUUAAAAUGGAUACAUUCUGUUAGAGUUGUUUGCUCUACUAUAACGGAAUGAAAUAUUGAGAGCAGACUGCACUCGGAGAAGCUGAAAUGGAAAGAUUAAUGGACGUGAGUUCGACUCUCACCAUCUCCACCA
rfam:Clostridium sp. CAG:793 genomic scaffold, scf37